rnacentral:rRNA from 1 species
AUGGCCGCAGUACUCUGACUGUGCAAAGGUAGCAUAAUCAUUUGGCUUAUAAUUGAAGUCUGGUAUGAACGAAGACAUGGGGGGAACCUAUCUGCUAUUCGUAACAAUAAAUUACUGAUUAAGUGAAAAUACUUAUAGUUAAAUAAUAGACGAGAAGACCCUAGAAAUUUUUAAAGACUUUAUAUAUUUAUACUUCUGGUUUUUGUUGGGGCGACACAGUAGCAAUUAACCUGCUAAGAUACUAUAGGUAGCCGAUAUCGGCAGCAUAUCUAAAUUACUCUAGGGAUAACAGCAUAAUAUUGUAAAGUUUGUGACCUCGAUGUUGGACUAGGAUGUGGUAGCCCAGAAGGUGCUCCUCCAGGCUCUGUUCG